rnacentral:rRNA from 1 species
UACGUAGGGUGCAAGCGUUGUCCGGAAUUAUUGGGCGUAAAGAGCGUGUAGGCGGCCCGAUUAGUCCGCUGUGAAAGUUCAGGGCUCAACCCUGGAAUGCCGGUGGAUACUGUCGGGCUAGAGUCCGGAAGGGGCGAGUGGAAUUCCUGGUGUAGCGGUGAAAUGACGCAGAUAUCAGGAGGAACACCAAUGGCGAAGGCAGCUCGCUGGGACGUGACUGACGCUGAGACGCGAAAGCGUGGGGGAGCGAACAGG